rnacentral:lncRNA from 1 species
AUGUGUCCCCGCACACUGGUCCAGGAACAGUUCACUUAUCAGGGGAGAAUACUUCCUGUCCCCGAUGCGGCCCGGCUCCCGAGGAUUCCUGGCGCUUGGUGUUUUCCACGCGCACACUCGCGUCCACGGGCCUCAGCCCGACGCUGCCUGUCACGUGGCGGUCGUUGCGUAAUUGGGCAGGAAGCGGCCGCGGAGCCCCGGCGCACGGAGGCGCUGGCCUGGCGGUGGCACCAGAAACGCAGCAGCGGAAACGCAACGUUAUUCGAGAGGACACCUCAUCCGCGAAAUAUUCGGAGCCUGUGAUGUGGCUGUAAGUUGGCCGGAGUCCAGGAUGUUGAGCUGACAACAUAGAAUCACACCUGUGUAUUUUAAAAACCCACAAUUUACACCACAGGGCAGAGCCAAACUCCCUGUGGAGCUCAGAUUCAAUGUCUGACUAUGUGUUUCUGGUAACUGCUUGUCAUUUAGAGGUAUCCUGUUUAUUUAGUAUUUUAACAGCUGUGUGGUGAACGUGAUGAGACUGUCUGUCAUCUGAACUCAGAUAUGUGGGCAGACAUUAAACCUCAACACUUUUAUGUCACAAUUAAAGCUCAAAAACUGUUGAGUACUAAUUUGUCUAUCCAGCAAGUCAUUGUAGCGACAGCUGUCGGGGUGGAUCCUGAACCGGUCACAGUCCAUCACAGGAUCAACAAUUCACACCUACGACCAAUUUAGAGUCUCCUAUUAAGCAAUCUAUUUAGUUAUCUAUCUAUCUAUCUAUCUAUCUAUCUAUCUAUCUAUCUAUCUAUCUAUCUAUCUAUCUAUCUAUCUAUCUAUCUAUCUAUCUAUCUAUCUAUCUAUCUAUCUAUCUAUCUAUCUAUCUAUAUAUAUAUAUAUAUAUAUAUAUGUAAUUUUUUCUACUUCCUUUCUAAAAGUGUGAACAUAAUGCUGCACACAUUAAAUCACAAGACUAAUGAAUAAUUAUUAACCAUCAAGCCCAAACUUUAAUAAAUUACUGGAUUUCAAAACA